rnacentral:rRNA from 1 species
UACGUAGGGGGCGAGCGUUGUCCGGAUUUAUUGGGCGUAAAGAGCUCGUAGGCGGUUUGGUAAGUCGGAUGUGAAAUCUCCAGGCUCAACCUGGAGGGGUCAUUCGAGACUGCUAUGACUAGAGUUCGGUAGAGGAGUGUGGAAUUCCUGGUGGAGCGGUGAAAUGCGCAGAUAUCAGGAGGAACACCCGUAGCGAAGGCGGCACUCUGGGCCGAUACUGACGUGAGGAGCGAAAGCGUGGGGAGCGAACAGG